rnacentral:rRNA from 1 species
UACAGAGGUCUCAAGCGUUGUUCGGAUUCAUUGGGCGUAAAGGGUGCGUAGGUGGCGGGGUAAGUCAGGUGUGAAAUUUCGGAGCUUAACUCCGAAACUGCAUUUGAUACUGCCUUGCUUAAGGACUGGAGAGGAGACUGGAAUUCACGGUGUAGCAGUGAAAUGCGUAGAUAUCGUGAGGAAGACCAGUGGCGAAGGCGGGUCUCUGGACAGUUCCUGACGCUGAGGCACGAAGGCCAGGGGAGCAAACGGG